rnacentral:lncRNA from 1 species
GGUCUCUUUCAGGUUUCCUAGGAUAGAGUUUUCAACCUCUUUAAAUGCUUCUAUUUAUGCUAAUGAGGGGACUUAUGGUGAGUACCUCAUAGUUUUGAGGUGUUUUCUAGCUGUGUUGGCAAGAAAUGUGGCUAUGGUGUUUGUAUUUCAAGCCAGAUGAUGUGAGCUUGACAUCUGGGGAAGAAAUGAUGAAUAUUGAUUCAACUGUCAUGGGAGAAGAAGUAUCUCUGAAGAAGGGUCUGAGAAGUUUCAGAAAUCAACUCAAGAACAACAGGAUUCUUGGCUAACAUGAACAAGAAUUUCAGCAGGCACCAGUCAGAGACACAGACAGAGGUUUCUUCAGGAAAGUAGAUAGACAUUAAAGGGGAAUGAGAGUCAUAUUGAGAGUGAGGAACAUGUUCUGGGGGUUCCCAGCAUUUUUUUUAAAGGAAACUUGGUGAGGUUGGGCAUGGGAAGGUAAACAGGAAUAAAUAUCAGUCCAUUCAUCUCAAGAGAGUGUCUGAUGGUCUGGUAAAUCUCAGGAUCCUUAGGUCGACAUGAUCAAUAGUGAUGGAAACUCUUAAUUUAUAUACUUCUCAAGAUAUUGUAUCUCUCCUUGAAUAAUUUAUUUAUUUGGGUUGUUAAUUAAGAGGAAAAGGUAGAUUUACAGAUUUACAGAUUUUCCAGGAAUUUGGGAGUAAGUGGCCUGGAAAAAGAGACUGGCUUAUGGAAUAACAGAUCUAGAAAAAAUGCAAGAAAAUUUUGAAUUAAAACCUUAUUUUCUUGUCCAUCUUUUAUGUCUCUUUUCUACUUGUUUCUUAAUUCUCCUAUCCUAUCUCAAAAUAACAUGCAAUAUUGCAAUCCAUCAAGGUUACAUAAUGAAACUUCACUAAAAGCAUUGGAAACUUAGUUAACUAAGUUCAGUUAACUUUUCUGGUAGGUGAACACUUUGAUGUGCCAAGAUAGAUACAUCCUCAUUCUAUGAAUAUUUAUUACAUUAUAUAAUUUAGCCACAGGAUAUGUUCCAAACAUUGUUACUGCUUUGUAUUAAAAAAUACACAUGUAUUUUUUCAUGUACUACAUAAUCCAUUAUCAUGUGUUAACUUUUUAAGUACCUGAAAGUAAAAAAAAAAAAAAAAAAAACUUUAAAUCAUAAGAGCUUAAAUGAUUACUCAUGCACAUUUGAAACACUGAUUUUAGUUCUUAAUAAUUACUAAUUAAAUGUGUGUGUUUUAAUAAAUGAAUAACCUCAUUUUUAAUCUUUACUUAAUUCUAAUGCACUAAAAUUGGUAGAUUAAUGAUAUAUACAUUUGCAAUCCAUUAAUAAGUGUAACUCACAGAAUUAUCAGACAAAGAAAAGGGGAAAAUAACAGAUUCAUAAAAGAUGCUUGCAUUACAAUAAACCUGGGAGCAUGAGGAGCUGAAAUAAGGCCUUUAACAUGUCAAAUAAAACACCAUCUCAGAAAGAUCAAUAUGAGCAAAACACUCAUUAGGUGAAAUAAAAUCCUUGUGUAAACAACUUUAAAUAAAAGAGAAUGGCAUUAAAAAACAAGGAAAGAAAAGUUCAAUCACUUUCCUACAUACAUCACCACGAUUCAGUUUUCCUCCUGAUCAAAAUGAAUAUAUUGUUCUCAACUUUAUUUUUUCCACUCUGAAGAAUUUAUUUAUAUAAGCAGUUAAAACUUACUUCAUUUCUCGGAGCCACUUCAUUUUCCAGAGUCAACAGUUCUUAGAUUAUGUUUUUGUUUUUUUCUUACUGCUUUAUUAAGAUACAAUUUACAUAUGAUGAAAUGCUUCAUUUUAAAGUGUACAGUUAAAGUGUUUUUGAGUAUGUAUAUUCAGAGCUGUGCAACCAUCAUCACACUCCAAUUUUAGAUAUUGUCUUCAGUCUAUAAAGAAAUUUUGUAUGUAAGAGCAGUGUGUCCUUAUUUUCCCCUAUCCUAAUACUUGGCAACCACUAAUAUAUUUUCUAUCUCUGCAGACUUUUCUACUCUAGGUAUAUAUUUGCGCUUUUAAUAUGUAUAUAUGUGUAGCAUAUAAUUGUAUGUGCUCUUUGG